AGCUUCAACAUCCCCGUAGGUCGGGCGCAGUACGCGCAGUGGAUCUACUGAAGCC
rnacentral:sRNA from 12 species